rnacentral:rRNA from 1 species
UCCUACGGGAGGCAGCAGUAGGGAAUCUUCCGCAAUGGACGAAAGUCUGACGGAGCAACGCCGCGUGAGUGAUGAAGGUUUUCGGAUCGUAAAGCUCUGUUGUUAGGGAAGAACAAGUGCAAGAGUAACUGCUUGCACCUUGACGGUACCUAACCAGAAAGCCACAGCUAACUACGUGCCAGCAGCCGCGGUAAUACGUAAGUGGCAAGCGUUGUCCGGAAUUAUUGGGCGUAAAGGGCUCGCAGGUGGUUUCUUAAGUCUGAUGUGAAAGCCCACGGCUCAACCGUGGAGGGUCAUUGGAAACUGGGAGACUUGAGUGCAGAAGAGGAAAGUGGAAUUCCAUGUGUAGCGGUGAAAUGCGUAGAGAUAUGGAGGAACACCAGUGGCGAAGGCGACUUUCUGGUCUGUAACUGACACUGAAGCGCGAAAGCGUGGGGAGCAAACAGGAUUAGAUACCCUGGUAGUCCACGCCGUAAACGAUGAGUGCUAAGUGUUAGAGGGUUUCCGCCCUUUAGUGCUGAAAUUAACGCAUUAAGCACUCCGCCUGGGGAGUACGGCCGCAAGGCUGAAACUCAAAGGAA